rnacentral:lncRNA from 1 species
GGAAGUUUAUUUAAGGAUGUCUUCUUUCUUCCUCUCCUGUCUCUGGGGAAUUAUACCGGUUAGAUUCACGCAGUAGAUGUCAGUUUUGAGUCUGUUGUUCCUGCGUGUGCAAAACUGUCGUCAUUGUCAGGGCCAGAUACGUUGUGCUGAAGGGCUCAUCUGUACAGGGAGGAUCAUGGACAUGUGGUGUACUAGUGCAAUGGAUGUGUUUGGUUUAUUUUAUUCAGUAUUAAGAAAAAGGAAAAAGCGAUAGAGGUGGUGGAAUUAGACACUAAGUGGGUAUUUCUCCUCUAUAGAUGUGCCAGGAAAAAAUGUUGGAGUCACCAUUAACUCAAUCACAAGAAGAGCAGUGGAGAGGCUGGAAAGAGUUUGAGAUGAACGGAAUACGAAUGUCCGUAAAGUGGGCGCAGCCACUGCGUGCGGGUCCAGCCUCCCUGGUGCAGCGGGAGUGUCCGUGUUGUCCUGCUGACCUCUGCCCGGCUCCGGAGAGGUGCGUGCCUCUGUGUUUGGAGGGUUAUUGCCUUCACAUGGAAACCUCAUGUAAUUCGUUAUUCUGUUCUAGUUUGAUCUGUUUCAAAGAAAGUCCAAUAUUUAGCGUUACUACGUCCCUGAAACUAUGGCUUUUUAGGACUUCGUAGGAUGAUGGUGGGCAAAUGUUUUCUAGAGGAUAAUCUUGCUGGAGGCUGUCAGGCAUCCAGAGUCCGUCUUGGUGUGCUGGGCAAUCACAUGCUGCAACAAGAUGCCAGCUGUGCUGCACCUUGCCUGCUACAGGGUGACGCUGCAGGGGCUCUGGCCGCUGCGCCCGCAGAGAGGGCGCCUGCCGCCUGCUCCUCCGCGCGCCCGGGGGCUCUCAAGGGCCCUUGCCCUGCAACUUCCACAGGCACCGGACUGCCCUCAGCUGCUUUGCACUAGGAUUUUUGUGUUUUCUUCUUCACUCCCUGCUCUUGGAGCAGAUCUAGCCACAUCACCUUUAAUAUUGAAAAACUUAGCCAUUUAAUUUGAAUAUCACCUUUGCUUGUCUGAUUGUUAA